GCUCAGUUGGUUAAGCGUCUGACUUCAGCUCAGGUCAAGAUCUCACAGUUUGUGGGUUCAAGCCCCGCAUUGGGCU
rnacentral:tRNA from 1 species